CAACUCAGCCAAGAUGACCCUCAUACCUCUCAUCAUCUUAGUGACAGCUGCCCACCAAGAUGGCCUAGAUCUCACAUUUUCGAAGCCCUUUCCAUGCGCAGACCUCCGACAUACCUCUCAUCAUCUUAGCGACAGCUGCCCACCAAGAUGGCCUCGAUCUCACAUUUUGAAGCCCUUUCCAUGCGCAGACCUCCGACAUGCCACGUCGAGAAUUGGAUGGCUAAUACUAGACUCAUCGUCAAAUCAAGAAAGAGGCUGGUAUCAUUCAGCAAGCACCAAAAAACUCAACCCAAAAUCUCUCUGAAUGAUAAAACAAGUCUCAGACUGCCUGAAGCCAAGCUCUGAAAUGCCUACUUCCAAUUGGUUUCCCAGCUUCAGUCUACAAAUCCGCAAGUAACAAAGCAAAUAGAAACCCUGUAAGCAUUCAGCAAGCAUUCCUGAACCUAAGAAUGCUGAAACUUUUACCUGCUGGCAACAAUAAGCUCCUAGCUGUUGCACAAAUGGAGAACAGUUCCCAUCCAACAUGAUCGAGGUGUUCAAAUGUCAGGAACUGCCUAUUUGGGUUAAAAAGGAAAAACCAAAUCUCUAAUGAGCUUAUCAUAACAACAAAAAGUACUCGUGGGUUCUGAAAUCACAACGCAUUCAGACACAAAACACAUUUUUAUCGGAGGUUGAUAUGCAGCAAGCACUCCGGACGUGCACCUAAAACACCAUGCUUGAAUAAGCAUAUAUCCUGUUCUUGGUAAUUAAAAUGCACUUACAGCCUGAUUACAUUUGACUAGAAAGAAAGGAACCAAAAAACUUUCCUUUCUUCCUUGUUUCAGUUCUCAUUAUGUAUCAUCAUUGAUCUGUAACUACGGAUCCCCAAGGUGAUCGUCCAUGCACACCUGCAAUUUAGAUGGAGAAUGUGCUCCAAGUAGAUAUAAGAACAUUCAUCUUACAAUGACAAUCAAAUGCAUUCUACCAAUCCUUCAACAGCAAAGCUACACAAAGAUAUCGUAUCCCUGACAAUAUAAUCAAUAUAUCUGUGGCAGACAUGCAGUAUAUAGCCAGAAAAGCAUUGUUACUAUUAUAUACUAUCAUCAAAUCUCCUCUUACCAAGCGGAAGAAACUUUUCCGUGAGACUGUUGAAACCAGCCUCCACAAAGCAAUCAUUGACACCUGAGAUUGUGCAGCUUGAACAUCGAGUGACAGCAGUACCCAAUAUUUAAGAAAAAAUGCCCGAGGGGUCCUCUAAGAUAGUUUCCAGAACUCAAACACUUGCUCGGCUUUCAUAAUUAUGAAUAGACCAAAACAAAGGAAAGAUAAAUCAAGAUUACGACUGGAAAAAGGCAGACGGAAAAAACAAGGUGGAUGUUCACCUUCUUAGUUGGUAUAUAAUAAACAGCUCCUUUAUUAGCCAACCCUCCAGGUUAAUGACUGGGGUAGUUAUUAUUAUUUGAAUUGUUAUUAGCUCGAGACCUUGUAUCUAGGCUGAUACAAGAUGUAAGAUCGCUUUAAUAGCAUUACCAAUUGCCAGUUUGUAUAAACAACGUACUUUAAGAAUAGUACAUGGUAACACAUCUCAAGUGUCUUUAAGGUUAUAUCCUUUAAACCUUGAGCAUGUUUCAACAAAGUACAAACGCAUGGCAUGUGCCUACAUUGCUUGAUACUGCACUUAACAAGAACCUACUUCCAAAUGAUCUCCAGUAAACAUGCGGUCACCUAUCAACAUCUCUAUAGAGGGUACUUUGAAAAGCAUUGAUCAGAGCAAUUCAUCUUGACAUCAGCAAGACUCAUGUCCAGCCUAUACAAACUUCUCUGUAACAAGCCCCAGGGAUGCAUGUUUAACACGAAUAUGCAAGUUAUAUAAAGUAAUUGAUUUGUAUCCUUGUAUUCAUUAAACCUUGCAUCAUUUAAGAUAAAUUAAUAAACCAAUUGAAAUUGCAUGGUUGAACAAGUUUAUGUCAUUUUUUCAGAUGCUUUUGAUUCAGCCAAUUUCAUGCUUUAUAUUGUCAUGAAGAUUGGAAAUCAUUUAUCUGAUCUUAUAAUAGGUCUAGUGGAAGCAUCUUAAUGGAUGACAUUUGAAUUACCAAGAAAACUGAAUCUAGUUUUCUUCUAGAGAGAGAGAGAGAGAGAGAGAGAGAGAGAGAGAGAG
rnacentral:lncRNA from 1 species